GAUGAACGCUGGCGGCGUGCUUAACACAUGCAAGUCGAACGAUGAAGCCCAGCUUGCUGGGUGGAUUAGUGGCGAACGGGUGAGUAACACGUGAGUAACCUGCCCUUAACUCUGGGAUAAGCCUGGGAAACUGGGUCUAAUACCGGAUAGGAGCGCCUACCGCAUGGUGGGUGUUGUAAAGAUUUAUCGGUUUUGGAUGGACUCGCGGCCUAUCAGCUUGUUGGUGAGGUAAUGGCUCACCAAGGCGACGACGGGUAGCCGGCCUGAGAGGGUGACCGGCCACACUGGGACUGAGACACGGCCCAGACUCCUACGGGAGGCAGCAGUGGGGAAUAUUGCACAAUGGGCGGAAGCCUGAUGCAGCGACGCCGCGUGAGGGAUGACGGCCUUCGGGUUGUAAACCUCUUUCAGUAGGGAAGAAGCGAAAGUGACGGUACCUGCAGAAGAAGCACCGGCUAACUACGUG
rnacentral:rRNA from 1 species